CAGUCGUACUGACGAGGAAUCAACCUUUAGAGUGUGGAUUCGUAGGAUUCAAAGAGCCUUUGUCCUUGCGAUAUUCGCGUUUUUUGGUGCACUUUCUCGUUUUGUAGGUUAGCAUCGGUUUUGACCGUUAUAAAAUGAUCGGAGGGAUGUAGCUUCGAUUUCGAUUGAAGUGUUAUAACCUUUGGUAGAUGUAACUGUCGGGAUCGAGGAUUGCAACGGAUACCCUAACGGGCUAUUCGUCUGGCCUCUG
rnacentral:rRNA from 1 species